rnacentral:lncRNA from 1 species
CUAAUGCAUGUUUGAUUAUUAUUACAAGUUUAUUUAAAGUAUGUUUGGCAUGUUCUAAUGAUAAUUGAUAUAUGUUUGAAUGAAAAUUCAUAAGAUCAUUAAUAAAGGGGAUAAGUUCUUAAUAUUAUGACAAUUUACUAUGAGUAUGAUGUGUGAAAUUGGUGUGUCAUUCUAAUAUUCGGGCUCGGUGAUCGAAUCGGGUAUAGGGUGUUAGAUUUGGCGGUAUCAGAGCCUAGGUUAUUUAACACUCAAACCUAGGUGAUUGUUGUGUGUUUGGGG